rnacentral:rRNA from 1 species
AUUGAACGCUGGCGGCAGGCCUAACACAUGCAAGUCGAACGGUAACAGGAAGAAGCUUGCUUCUUUGCUGACGAGUGGCGGACGGGUUGGCAAUGUCUGUGAAACUGCCUGAUGGAGGGGGAUAACUACUGGAAACGGUAGCUAAUACCGCAUAACGUCGCAAGACCAAAAAGGGGGACCUUCCGGCCUCUUGCCUUCGGAUGUGUCCAGAUGGGAUUAGCUAGUAGGGGGGGUAACGCCUCACCUAGGCGACUAUCUCUAGCUGGUCUGAGAGGAUGACCACACACACUGGAACUGAGACGCGGUCCAGACUCAUACGGGAGACAGCAGUGGAAAUAUUGCAAAAGGGGCGAAAGCCUGAUGCAGCAAUGCCGCGUGUAUGAAGAAGGCCUUCGGGUUGUAAAGUACUUUAAGCGGGGAGGAAGGGAGUAAAGUUAAUACCUUUGCUCAUUGACGUUACCCGAAGAAGAAGCACCAGCUAACUCCGU